UCAAAAUGUAGCUUAACAAAAGCAUUUGGCCUACACCCAAAAGAUUUCAUCAUUUGACCAUUUUGA
rnacentral:tRNA from 1 species